rnacentral:tRNA from 1 species
GCCCUUGUAGCUCAGUGGGUAGAGCGGCCCGGAGAUAUGGGUGUGCGCCGGUUCGAGUCCGGUUGAGGGCA